rnacentral:tRNA from 1 species
GGGGUCGUAGCUCAGUUGGUAGAGCGCCUGCUUUGCAAGCAGGAUGUCGCCGGUUCGAAUCCGGCCGGCUCCACCA